UACGUAGGGGGCGAGCGUUGUCCGGAAUGAUUGGGCGUAAAGCGCGCGCAGGCGGUCCUUUAAGUCUGAUGUAAAAUCCCGCGGCUUAACCGCGGAAGGUCAUUGGAAACUGGGGGACUUGAGGCUAGGAGAGGGAAGUGGAAUUCCUGGUGUAGCGGUGAAAUGCGUAGAGAUCAGGAGGAAUACCGAUGGCGAAAGCAACUUCCUGGCCUAGAACUGACGCUGAGGCGCGAAAGCGUGGGGAGCAAACAGG
rnacentral:rRNA from 1 species